rnacentral:lncRNA from 1 species
CUGAAGGGCCGGCAAUUGAGGCGCGGGGCGCCUGGGAAAUUUGAAAGGUUGGGACUACGCGGUGAGGGCAGGCCUUGCGACCCCCCCCCCAGAAAUGUGCAAAACUUCCCGUUCUACACGCCCCACCUGCUUAUAUUCCAUGGGAUCUGGCCUGGAAUCGGGGUUCGGCACCCUCACUCCUUGGUGCAGGUUUCGGGGGACCAGCCACCUUGCAAAUCUCCACCACAAGCUCCUGCUUGGCGUCCUGUCUGUCCUCCGCCAGCGCCAAUCGCGCAGAUAAAGUGGAGUACUUUUAGAUUGCCGCGUUCACGUGGGACCCUCUCCUUGCUAAAUUGCAGCUAUGGUUUGCAAUGAAUAGACCACCUCUCGCCCGAACGGAUUAAAGGAAAUAAAUGUCGACCCAGAGUUGAUCUUCAAAGUUUAUUAGCUUCAGCCCAUUUAAAGCUUAUAAUAAGUUAGUCGGUGCCUAACUCCCCCCCGCCCCCCAGCGUUCUGUACACGGGCUGAUGCGUUUCUCCGCCCCUUGGAAUUGUAGGGUGUAGGUAACCUUGAUUUUGAAAAAAAGUUUACCCGUUGGGCAGAGACCAUACUUGAAGUGUUUCACGUGGGCAGGCAUCUUAGAAUAGGGUAGUACUGUAGUUCCAGACAAGGCUCUGCUACAAAAUCAGGAACUUUUAAAAUUCUCUAGGGUUCAGGAGGCUAAGGCAGGAGGAUUGCAAGUUAAAAGCCUGCCUCAGCAACUUAGAGGCCCUUAGCAACUUAGUAAGACCCUGUCUCAAAAUAAAAAAAAAAUGGGCUGGGGAUGUGACAUGCACAGUGGUUGAAUGUACCUGCGUUCAAUCCCUGGUACCAAAAAUAUCCUGAGGAACUGCUUCACCACCCUCCCCAUCCCUUGUCCCAAACACAUAACAAUCACCUUACUAUUGAAAGACCCCAGCCCAAUAACUUUAGGCCCAGUAAUAAAUCACCAGGGCUUGCUUCCGCACCUGCACAGACGUCAGAUGUAUUUUUCAGAAAAUCAGUUAAGUGUAAACGAUUAAGAAAGGACAGGAUGGUUGGGAAAGGAGCCGGCACGGUUGGGCAAACGGGAUCAUACAAUGAAAAAACCAUACAAUGAAUAACAAAUGGUUUUUAUGUGGUUUUUCCAGGAACCUAUAGUGAAAAACAAGUUUACCCUUUAAGUGACCUAUAUGCUGGAUUCAAAAGAGCCAAUGAGAUACCUGUUACUGUGCUAGGAGGAAAACUGACCACUGUACCCUAUAAAAGAUCUGUACCCCAAAGCCCGGUGUGCCAGUUC